rnacentral:rRNA from 1 species
AUUGAACGCUGGCGGCAUGCCUUACACAUGCAAGUCGAACGGUAACAGGUCUUCGGAUGCUGACGAGUGGCGAACGGGUGAGUAAUACAUCGGAACGUGCCUAGUAGUGGGGGAUAACUACUCGAAAGAGUGGCUAAUACCGCAUGAGAUCUACGGAUGAAAGCAGGGGAUCGCAAGACCUUGUGCUACUAGAGCGGCCGAUGGCAGAUUAGGGAGUUGGUGGGAUAAAAGCUUACCAAGCCGACGGUCUGUAGCUGGUCUGAGAGGACGAUCAGCCCGACUGGGACUGAGACACGGCCCAGACUCCUACGGGAGGCAGCAGUGGGGAAUUUUGGACAAUGGGCGAAAGCCUGAUCCAGCAAUGCCGAGUGCAGUAUGAAGGCCUUCGGGUUGUAAACUGCUUUUGUACGGAACGAAAAGCCCUGGGUUAAUACCCUGGGGUCAUGACGGUACCGUAAGAAUAAGCACCGGCUAACUACGUGCCAGCCGCCGCAGUAACAC